UAACGCGUGGGUAACCUGCCCUGUACACACGGAUAACAUACCGAAAGGUAUGCUAAUACGAGAUAAUAUGCUUUUAUCGCAUGGUAGAAGUAUCAAAGUUCCGGCGGUACAGGAUGGACCCGCGUCUGAUUAGCUAGUUGGUAAGGUAACGGCUUACCAAGGCGACGAUCAGUAGCCGACCUGAGAGGGUGAUCGGCCACAUUGGAACUGAGACACGGUCCAAACUCCUACGGGAGGCAGCAGUGGGGAAUAUUGCACAAUGGGCGGAAGCCUGAUGCAGCAACGCCGCGUGAGCGAUGAAGGCCUUCGGGUCGUAAAGCUCUGUCCUCAAGGAAGAUAAUGACGGUACUUGAGGAGGAAGCCCCGGCUAACUACGUGCCAGCAGCCGCGGUAAUACGUAGGGGGCUAGCGUUAUCCGGAAUUACUGGGCGUAAAGGGUGCGUAGGUGGUUUCUUAAGUCAGAGGUGAAAGGCUACGGCUCAACCGUAGUAAGCCUUUGAAACUGGGAAACUUGAGUGCAGGAGAGGAGAGUGGAAUUCCUAGUGUAGCGGUGAAAUGCGUAGAUAUUAGGAGGAACACCAGUUGCGAAGGCGGCUCUCUGGACUGUAACUGACACUGAGGCACGAAAGCGUGGGGAGCAAACAGGAUUAGAUACCCUGGUAGUCCACGCCGUAAACGAUGAGUACUAGCUGU
rnacentral:rRNA from 1 species